AGUGAACGCUGGCGGCAGGCCUAACACAUGCAAGUCGAGCGGCAGCGCGGGAGCAACCCUGGCGGCGAGCGGCGGACGGGUGAGGAAUUCGUCGGAAUCUGCCUUUUUGUGGGGGAUAACGUAGGGAAACUUACGCUAAUACCGCAUACGUCCUACGGGAGAAAGUGGGGGACCGCAAGGCCUCGCGCAGAAAGAUGAGCCGACGACCGAUUAGCUAGUUGGUGGGGUAAAGGCCCACCAAGGCAACGAUCGGUAGCUGGUCUGAGAGGAUGAUCAGCCACACUGGGACUGAGACACGGCCCAGACUCCUACGGGAGGCAGCAGUGGGGAAUAUUGGACAAUGGGCGCAAGCCUGAUCCAGCCAUGCCGCGUGUGUGAAGAAGGCCUUCGGGUUGUAAAGCACUUUUGUCCGGAAAGAAAUCCCUGGAGCUAAUGCCUUCGGGGGAUGACGGUACCGGAAGAAUAAGCACCGGCUAACUUCGUG
rnacentral:rRNA from 1 species